rnacentral:lncRNA from 1 species
UUUCCAUAUGAAUUCAUGGUAAAAAUUAAUUAAUUAAUGGAUUAUUUAUAAUCGUUUCUUCACUUUACGUCAUUUUUCCUUACAAAAACUUUCAUAGGAACACUCUGCUUUCGGAUAGCGGGGGAAAUAUGUAUCUGCUUUUUUCAGUGAAGAGUUCUUUGAUCCGUGUGGUGACAGUAUAUCCAGUGAGCUGUGAGGCUAGCACUGACACCUCAGGGAUGAUCAGUCUUCCGUUAGGUGGUGAGAAACAUAAGUGCGUAGCCACAUUGCUUUGGGAAAAGUGACCUGCGAAAGCAAAAUGCACAUGCCUGGGACCCGUCUCACCGAGGGACAGGAAACUCCAGCUGGGGCCAGCUGUACCGAUAGCCUGACCAGGCUGGAAAGGAGACACUAGAUCAAUCUCCCGGCAGAACAGAGACGCAGUGCACGGGAGAUGAUGGGGCAAGGCUAGCCGCGGCCACCUGCAUAUGCAGAUUUGAAUGCCAGCUCCUCGCUUUUGCUAGCCGUGUGACCUUGGCAGGAAAAUUCCACCUAAGAAGCAGACCAGUUGAUCUUGCACCUGUGAUCCCGUGUCUGGCACUUAUCUGGGUCAAGUCCAGGAGAGCAGCCCCCAGGCCCUGGAAACAGACAACCCACCCUGUCGCUGGGACACACUGUACAUACAGCGGUUCUUAUCACCAGACAUUCUUGUCCAGCAUCCGUCUGGGAGCAUAUUCCAUGCCAUUUAGGCAGCAUACCAGACUGACGAAAUUACCCAGGCUGGGCAAUUACCCAAAGUGUCCUUCCCUUCAUACAUCCCUCUCUCCAUCCCAGAUCCAUAAGACACCUCCACUAGUGCCCAUGCAAAUGUAUCUACUGUGUUUUGCUUUCAAGAGCAUCUAAGAAAGCAGCCUGUGGGUUCAGACCACCCAGGCUCAGCUCUUACUGAUAGUUUCCUAGGCUCGUGCCCGGGGACCAAUAACAUAACCUCUCUGUGCCUCAGUUUACUCAUCUGUAAUUUGAAUAUACUAGCAACACCUACCUCUUGGGGUUCUUGGGGAGAUUAAAUGAGAUAAAGCACAUUGCCUGGCACACAGGAAGGUUGGAGAAAAAGGUGAACCAUGGCUCGAUGUCAUCUGGUGGGAAUUGUAGCCUCUUCUCUGGCCAGCCCACCGCUCCAGGAGAGUCCUGACUUCAGAGCUGCAUGUGCCAUGCCGAGGCUGUCUCGGGGAGGAUUCCGUACCCCUGAUGCCCAGUGUGGGUCCUAUGCUCUCCACUAAGCAUGCCCAAAUGUGGCACACGUGGGCUGUUGGUGGCCCCAGCCUGCCUCAUUGUGGGCCUGUGUUCUAGGGCUAUUAUUUGUGGCCAUUUUUCAUAGAGGAAGUUGCUACCAUUAAAUGCCUUGAUGACAGAAACACGUAGAAAAGCACAGUGUUUUUAGAUUAAUUCAUAGAUUAAUUCUUAACCUUUAAGUUACAUCUCUUGAUCUCGGAGCCUCACAUUGCGAAUUUUAAUUAUCUUUGUUCUAUAAUGUCCAUGCUGGUCACUUCCUGUGUAAUACAGGGCAACUGAGGUAUGAAUGACAUCUUUCAAAAAGCACCUGCAAUUCUUUUUUGCCAAGCUUUUAUAGAUUCUUCUCAUUACUUUCAAAAACCCAUUGAAAUAUUGUUAUGUGUAUUUUGCAAAUGAGGAAAUUAAUAUUCAAAUGCAUUAAGUAUCUUAUCCAAGGUCUCACAGCCAGAAAGUAGAGAAAUAGGAUUUGAACUAAGCUCUCUUACUGCACAGCUCCUGCUCUUUCCCAGGCACUGGGGAAUGAAUGCCUGAAAAAGCCCCCUUUCGUAUGUUUCAAGUGUUUACCAAACGUCUGUUAUCUACUAGGAUCUUGAACUCGCUCCGUAAGAUCGCCCGAAGCCUGCUCAUCACUUGUCUGUUGACCUUCACCACUGUCUGUGGGACUUUACUCUCUUUUGGUAAAAUACUCUUUUAUUAAAAAUAAUUAUUUGACUAUAAAUGGAUAAAUCCUAACAUCAGUAUGCAAUGUCUGACAUCAUGCAAAAUGUCUUCAUGUCAAACAUAAACGAUGGUCAAACUAACUAGGUAAAGCAUCGUUAUAAAUUGACUAGCCAUGUUUCAAAUGGCUACUUCCUAGAGUUGAAAUUUAUAUUGACUAUCAGGGAACUCCUCCAGGUAGUAUUUGGGAUCUGUGGGCUGGCAGGUGGCUGUUACUACCCAACCUGUCAACAUUAGUUGAAAUACAAUAUUCUUCACUUUUCUUAUAUGAACUGUAUGAGUACAUUUUCAGACUAAAUUCAGUUCGUUAUUUUUUCAAUUCUUUCAUAGAGUUAAUAAUAUUCUUUAACACUUUGCCUCCCACCAAUGAAUAACUUUAUUGUGAUUGCUAGUUCUUUUUUCUCUAUCAUCCUAUCAGAGGAGUUAUAAGUGAAAAUCAACAAGACUGGCCAAGAAUAACAAAAGAGAUAGAUUUGACUGGGAGAGUGGAGGAAAAAAUUCAAUGCCACUCAAAAAACUGUAUAUUUAUUGAACACUAGUUAUGUGCCCUCUUGGAAAUUAAAAAGUAAUGUAUGUUCUCCUUCUGGGUCUGCAACAUUUAGGAUCUAGUCGAGGGACCUGGAUUUAGACAUAAAAUACAAUCAAACAACACUCCGUGUUAGAAUCUCCAUGAGCCAAAGCCUUUGGCACAGACACUUAGUAAUAUGAGAAGUCAGGAAAAGGAGAAAUUUCUGUGGGUUAGUGCGGGUUGGGAACAUGAGAUGGGGAACUGACGUAUGACUGGAGAAAGGGUGAGAUUCAGAGAAAUGAACUGGAGAGGAGAGAGAGAAAGAGGGAGAGGAAAAGAGAGAAAGACAUGAGGAAAAACACGUUGCCCGGAGGAAGAAGAGAAGCAGGUCAUCAGUGGGUUUUCUCUAGGGAAGACAAUGACAAUUCUUAACAGGCCACGUUAAACACAAUGCCCUCUGCCCUCACUGGGAGGCUCAGAAAUUCAAGUUUGGGAGUUCAGGUUUAUAUGAAAAUAAAUACGUUUACCGAAAAAAAAAUAGCCA